CACACAGCAGCCCCCCUUUUUCCCAUUUUCCCUCACUCUUUCUCCUUCCACAAACCCACACACACGCCUAGAUUGGGAGAGAAAGAGCUGCAGAUUGAGAGAGAGAGAGAGAGAGAGAGGGGUACUGCUGGCUGGGAGAAAGAAAGAGAAAGAAGAAGGAGAAGAAAAAGAAAAGAAAAGGGAAGUGAUGAAUUUGAAGGGGGAUUUUGGCCAUGGAAGCUUGAAUGGUGCAUUGUGGUUGAGAAAAGAAUCCACCGAAGGGUACUCAAGCGAAAAAGACGAUGUUGUUGAUGCAGGUACAGGGACCCUAGAUGAUGAUCCAGUGGCUAUGUAUCUGGGUUACCACGGUGCCUGAGGCCUGGACACAUUGGGUCUUUAUUUUGUAGGACUAGUUGAUAGCCCUCUUUUGUAGAGCAUUCAUGUACAUGCUUAGGCAUUGUUAUUUUGUAUAUGGCUCAUGUCGUAUGUGACACUUCUAUAUAGCCAUUCUUUUGUAUGUAAGCUUUACUCACUUAGAUG